rnacentral:rRNA from 1 species
CAACAACUUUCAGCAAUGGAUGUCUUGGCUCCCACAACGAUGAUGAACGCAGCGAAAUGCGAUACGUCUUGCGAAUUGCAUAUCUUCGUGAAUCAUUAAAAUUUUGAACGCACAUUGCGCCUUCGGGAUACUCCUGGAGGCAUACUUAAUUGAGUGUCCACA